rnacentral:rRNA from 1 species
AGUGAACGCUGGCGGCAGGCCUAACACAUGCAAGUCGAACGGCAGCACGGCAGUAGCAAUACUGUGGGUGGCGAGUGGCGGACGGGUGAGGAAUACAUCGGGAUCUACCCUGUUGUGGGGGAUAACGUAGGGAAACUUACGCUAAUACCGCAUAAGAACUGAGGUUGAAAGCGGCGGACCGCAAGGCGUCGCGCGAUUGGAUGAACCGAUGUCCGAUUAGCUAGUUGGCGGGUAAAGGCCCACCAAGGCGACGAUCGGUAGCUGGUCUGAGAGGACGACCAGCCACACUGGAACUGAGACACGGUCCAGACUCCUACGGGAGGCAGCAGUGGGGAAUAUUGGACAAUGGGCGCAAGCCUGAUCCAGCCAUGCCGCGUGGGUGAAGAAGGCCUCGG